GUAACAACUCAAGGCACAACUUCCAGAUUGACAUCACUCAUCCGUUUGGAAAACAGACGGGGUAAGUGCUUCCAAUGAAGCGAUGUAGGUGGGCAUUACGACCAAUACGCUCUCAACAUAGUAGGGUUUUUUUUCUCGGUCCUUUGUGAUAUUCGGCAAAACUCGGUAAAAAUGAACUUAAAGGCGUGUCGGGAACGUACUUGGUACAACUUCUUCCGAAAUAUGUCUUUGUAAAUUGGCCUUGAGCCCAAUCAUACAUAUGGGAGGAUUGCAAUCUGCUUCUGGAACUCGACAACCAUCAUCCGAGCCGCGAAACCCACUUGAUCCCCUGAUGUUUAAAUGUCGCUCCCGGAUCCGGCCUGAUAUUCUCGAGGACUCUUGGCUUUUUUUCCGUCUCUGACAAGUAGCCUCACUCGAAUCCUCGGAGGUCGGACUAUUUGAAGAAUCCUCGAACAAAGGUGGAUUGCACAUGAUUUAUGGGUCAAUAUCAGCUUCAUCCGCAGGUCUAAGUGAUUGAGCUGAAAUUGUCCUACUCGGCCCAAUGAAGACUAGCUUUAUUCACUUUAUUCGUUUCAGCCCCAAGUUGAAUAGAUCCCGGUAUAAUCGAGGUUCUCGUUUAAAGAAAAAAACUGGAGGAGUGAUUUGACACAAAACUAAACACGGAUCUUGAGGUGUCACCCCAUGGACCUAACAGCGUAUUUUUAGCCACGAAUGGGCUUGGCAUAAUCUUGGCUUGAUGGUAUUGCUCAUUCUUGUAUGAGCGAUGGAACGAAAUGCAAUAUGUAAAAUAAUGCAACCAUCUGUUGGGCACUCAUUGAGCGUUAUGGUGUGUUGGUUAAAGAGAUGAAUCUUUCGUCGAUCAAGGUUAUUGUAAGCAAAAUAUGCUGCCCAAAUAUUACCAUUUACUACGUCCCUCAAUAAUCAUUCAUUACUAUGUUUGUCCAUGAAGUAUAUUCUGAGAGAUAUUUUAGUACAAAAACCCUUCGGCUAGCUAGUUGCCAGCCGGCCAUAACCCCCAUACUUCUUGAUAUCCUUAAUCCCUAAAAAGUAAUUGAACCGGAGGGGCAAAGUGGACACCAAUCGUGACGGAAUCAAAAUGUAACCCUGAUUAUUCUUU